rnacentral:misc_RNA from 1 species
GAUGAAGAACGUAGCGAAAUGCGAUAAGUAAUGUGAAUUGCAGAAUUCAGUGAAUCAUCGAAUCUUUGAACGCACAUUGCGCCCGCCAGCAUUCUGGCGGGCAUGCCUGUUCGAGCGUCAUUUCAACCCUCGAGCCCCCCCGGGGGCCUCGGUGUUGGGGGACGGCACACCAGCCGCCCCCGAAAUGCAGUGGCGACCCCGCCGCAGCCUCCCCUGCGUAGUAGCACACACCUCGCACCGGAGCGCGGAGGCGGUCACGCCGUAAAACGCCCAACUUUCUUAGAGUUGACCUCGGAUCAGGCAGGAAUACCCGCUGAACUUAAGCAUAUCAAUAAGCGGAGGA